GCGCCGGUAGCUCAGUCGGCAGAGCACCGGACUUUUAAUCCGGGGGGCGCAGGUUCGAUUCCUGCCCGGCGCA
rnacentral:tRNA from 1 species